rnacentral:lncRNA from 1 species
CCUACUCCGCCACCUUGCCCUCCUCCGCCGCCUCACCCUCAUCCACCCCUCCAUCCGCACCCACACACACGCUCUCGCGCUCCCUUGCCGUCUCGCCCUCGCCCACGCCCACCUCUUCAUCCAUGCCCACCCCGAUCUUCUCUUACUGUCGCCGAAAUGGAGGGACGAAGAAGGUACAGAAGGAGCGGGAGAGCAGGUGGAGGAAAUGGAGUGGGAGCUAUGGUUGAACGAGGUGUGAAGAACGAAAGAGGAGAGAUGACAGCUGAGCAAGAUUGGGGACGAAGGUGGUGAAGGGAAAUUUGGUCAUUUUACUAUCACAGUUAAACAUGCUACCCUCUGUGAACAAAUUUUAUUUUUCAAGUGGGCAAAGUAUAGGUUUGUAAAUGGCAGGAGAAAAAAUUAAAUAAACGGAUAUUGACAGAAAAAUUUUCUGUAAUUUAGCCAAAGAAAAAAGAAAAAUAAAUAUCUCCCAAACUAGAUAGAAGAAAAAAAUAAAUUAA